GACAGAGGGUGCAAACGUUGUUCGGAAUUACUGGGCGUAAAGCGCAUGUAGGCGGCCCCACAGGUCGGAUGUGAAAUCCCUCGGCUCAACCGAGGACGUGCAUUCGAAACCGUGGGGCUCGAGUCCUGGAGAGGGUAGUGGAAUUCUCGGCGUAGAGGUGAAAUUCGUAGAUAUCGGGAGGAACACCGGCGGCGAAAGCGGCUACCUGGACAGAGACUGACGCUGAGAUGCGAAAGCGUGGGGAGCAAACAGG
rnacentral:rRNA from 1 species